UGCCCACUUCUUCAGAUGGGUAUUCACCCACGGGGGCUCACGCUCCAGAACCUCUGUUGGUCUGUGGGGUGCCACGGGAUUCUCUGCUGCUUUCACAGAUCCAGACUAACACGGCUACCCCUCUGAUAUAU